UCUCGUUCCCCUUCUCUCAAAUGAACAAGAUGGCGACGACGGUCUACCCUCGCCGUGCACCACCGUCCCUCGCUCCUCAAACACUAAAACUCAAACGCAAAACCUAUUCUACCUCUAACCUUCAAUACGCCUAUGGAUUCAGAUUCUUAAGGUUCGUUUUCAUGAAGCGGAAUCGAAGAGGAAAAUUGUGAAACCCUAAGUCCCAAAUUCAAGCAAAAAUGAAAGAAUCACGAAUAGAACUUGAUUGAAGACCGAAAAUGUAAGAAAUAGCAAGCCAGAGGGGAGGAUGCGAUGGAAACCUAUGCGAGAUAACGCAAGGAAGCGACGAAGCUCUUCAGAUGAUGAUAAUUAUUGGAUUCUGAUGCGUUUUUGUUGUGGUGAUUUUGUUCUCUUCUUUUCCUUUGCAAAAAUGGAGGCAUAGAGAGAUUAUAGAUGAAGGUUGUUGUUUUGUGAUGAAGAAGGGUGAUUAUGCCAAGGAGAAGGAUGAAAAUUGGUUGUGGUUGGUGAUUGAAUGAAGAUGAUGAAGCAAUAUUUGGAGGUGAUUCGAGAUUAUGGUGAUGAAGUGAAGAAUCCAGGAAAAUGGUUGAAUGAAGUGUGUGUGAAGAGGUUGAAGUGGUGAAGAAGGUAAAUGAUAGUGAGAGUGAAGGUCAAAAAUGGUGGAGGCUUGAAUGAAGGUGGAGAAGCCUGUUAUAUAGAUCUUCUCAGGUUCAAAGCUAUCUGAUUUUGGACAUGAAUGAGGAGCAAGGAUAUGGAGGAGAUUGAAGCUUGGUGGAAGCAUGAAGAUGUGAUCAUGAUGAAGUGUAGGAUUAGGAAAGGGUGUUUGAUUUUGGUUGACUUAGGUUAAAAAUCUGUAUCUUUAUAUCUUUUUUCUUCAAUGUAAUGUGUAAUGGACACCUUUUUUUGGAUUUUGUACCAAACAACUCUUAAGUUUCAAUCUGAUUGGAUUUUGGUUGAUUUGAAA